GUUAUCACAUAUUACCUUUGUAAAACCUAAUUGAGGUUUGUUAAGAACGUUGUCUUCGUGCACAUAGCAUUUCUUCACAGUUUCCUUCGACUUCUCCUCCAUUGUUGAUUGAUUGCUUGAACUAAGGAGAAAGUUUUGACAGAGAGGAAUGUAGCUUAGGUUUUGGAGCUAGGGCGUGAUUUCAAGAAGUUUGAUUGUGUGAUUUUGAUUUUAGGAAGAUAUACACACACGAGUUUGAGG
rnacentral:lncRNA from 1 species